AUGGUGAGAGUAAACAGGUAUCCACUGCCUUGGCCAUCUGCUGUGUUCACCCCACUUCUGAUCUUGUUGGCCGCUCAGGGACUGACAGCCCAGAUGUGCAGCUAUGAUGAGCAGAAACAGGGAGGACUGGAGCCCCCAGAAACUCCACCUGUGGUCAUGGGAAAGGGCCUUUGCUCUGGCAGACUCCAGUCGCUCAUUGGAAAUGCUCCUUCAACAGGCUCCGCAUUAGCUCCCCUGGAUUUUACAAGCUCAAACAAUUAAAUCAUGGUGUCUCCAACAGUAAGUCAGCUUUUAAAAUCAGUCCCGUAACUAAUGCUGAGUAGAAAAAGAAGCUGAGCUCAGUAAACAGUAUUUCUCACUCUUUGUUACCAACCAUGUGUCCUUUCAUUUUUUAAUAUUAUGUAUGGCAAUUGUUUUCUGUAUUAUAGAUUAUCAUGAAAGGCUCCAGGCUUUUAAGAAAAACGUUUGAACAUAUAGCUGCCAAAAGCACUUUGAGAUUAAAGUAGGGCUGGUGGAGAUAGAGGUCCCUAAGCUCUCAUUAAAUGACAGCCUUUCAGAGCAUUAUCAUUCUUCAUCUUAUGUCCUGGUCUAAGAAGCAGUCUCAUCACGGGGAAGUUUAUAAAAGAUUAAAUUUACAACAGUUACGUCAGUGCCUAUUAUGGUGUUAGGCAUAUAGUAGACACUCAUUAAAUGUCUGUUGGAUGAAUGAGUGGUCUGUGAUGGGUGCUUUCCAUUGAAUCUCAGCCGUCUGGAAAUUUUAAAUGUAAGAAAUACUGCCAUGGGCAUUUGGUGAUGAGCAUCUGGACAACAGCAUGAAAAAGCCCAGACACAAAUGAACAACGAGUUACCACACCUAAAGACCUGCACAGGGGCCACGGGGUAUGCGUCUGGAGGGCUGCAGGGGUGCACAACUAAUAAUGAUUGACUAGCUUCACUGGAGUCUUAUUUAUGCUCAAUUGGUGACAUUAGCUUCAGGUAAACUAUCUUGUCUUCUUUAACUCUGUGAGGAGCCCGAGUAAGUACUUGCUAUAUGAAUUUUCUCAUGGCUUUUGGUUUUCACUUGUCUUCAAUUCCCUAACAAGGAUUUAAAUAGAAUCAAGACAUCAUUAUAUAAAACGUCUUGUAUUGUAGUCAAAGGCACUUUCCAAGUUAACCAAUAACUAUUUUUUCCAAAAAAUGUUUAAGUAAAAGCUUA
rnacentral:lncRNA from 1 species